rnacentral:lncRNA from 1 species
AUGGUUCACCUAUCGUUUGAAGAAAUUACAAAAAUUAGUCCUAUAGAACUCAAAGCAGAACUCCUGGACAUUGCCAUGGAGAACCAGACCCUCAAUGAGACCCUGGGUUCUUUGUCGGAUGCAGUUGUAGGUUUGACCUACAGCCAACUGGAAUCCCUCUCCCCCGAGGCUGUGCACGGAGCCAUCUCCACCCUCAACCAGGUCUCAGGUUGGGCCAAGAGCCAGGUCAUCAUCUUGUCUGCCAAAUACUUGGCCCAUGAGAAGGUCAGCUGGAGUUUUAAACUCUUUUUUAUUCCCCUAAGAUGACCUAAGUGUAUUAGACCUGCCAGGCUGCCAUAAAAAUAUACUGUAGAUUGAGUGACGUAAACAACAUAAAUUUAUUUCUCACAGUUCUGGAGACUGGGAAGUCCAACAU